GACGAACGCUGGCGGCGUGCCUAAUACAUGCAAGUAGAACGCACAGUUUAUACCGUAGCUUGCUACACCAUAGACUGUGAGUUGCGAACGGGUGAGUAACGCGUAGGUAACCUGCCUGGUAGCGGGGGAUAACUAUUGGAAACGAUAGCUAAUACCGCAUAAUAUUGAUUAUUGCAUGAUAAUUGAUUGAAAGAUGCUAUUGCAUCACUACCAGAUGGACCUGCGUUGUAUUAGCUAGUAGGUGAGGUAACGGCUCACCUAGGCGACGAUACAUAGCCGACCUGGUAUGGGGAUCGGCCACACUGGGACUGAGACACGGCCCAGACUCCUACGGGAGGCAGCAGUAGGGAAUCUUCGGCAAUGGACGAAAGUCUGACCGGGCAACGCCGCGUGAGUGAAGAAGGUUUUCGGAUCGUAAAGCUCUGUUGUAAGAGAAGAACGGGUGUGAUAGUGGAAAGUUCACACUGUGACGGUAUCUUACCAGAAAGGGACGGCUAACUACGUG
rnacentral:rRNA from 1 species